rnacentral:tRNA from 1 species
GCCGAUCUAGCUCAAUUGGUAGAGCAACUGACUUGUAAUCAGUAGGUUGGGGGUUCAAGUCCUCUGAUCGGCAUCA